rnacentral:rRNA from 1 species
CGAACGGGUGAGUAAUACAUCGGAACGUGUCCGCUCGUGGGGGGACAACCAGCCGAAAGGUUGGCUAAUACCGCAUGAGUUCUACGGAAGAAAGAGGGGGACCCGCAAGGGCCUCUCGCGAGCGGAGCGGCCGAUGACUGAUUAGCCUGUUGGUGAGGUAACGGCCCACCAAAGCAACGAUCAGUAGCUGGUCUGAGAGGACGACCAGCCACACUGGGACUGAGACACGGCCCAGACUCCUACGGGAGGCAGCAG